rnacentral:rRNA from 1 species
UGAGUAACACGUGGGUAACCUGCCUGUAAGACUGGGAUAACUCCGGGAAACCGGGGCUAAUACCGGAUGGUUGUUUGAACCGCAUGGUUCAGACAUAAAAGGUGGCUUCGGCUACCACUUACAGAUGGACCCGCGGCGCAUUAGCUAGUUGGUGAGGUAACGGCUCACCAAGGCGACGAUGCGUAGCCGACCUGAGAGGGUGAUCGGCCACACUGGGACUGAGACACGGCCCAGAUUCCUACGGGAGGCAGCAGUAGGGAAUCUUCCGCAAUGGACGAAAGUCUGACGGAGCAACGCCGCGUGAGUGAUGAAGGUUUUCGGAUCGUAAAGCUCUGUUGUUAGGGAAGAACAAGUGCCGUUCAAAUAGGGCGGCACCUUGACGGUACCUAACCAGAAAGCCACGGCUAACUACGUGCCAGCAGCCGCGGUAAUACGUAGGUGGCAAGCGUUGUCCGGAAUUAUUGGGCGUAAAGGGCUCGCAGGCGGUUUCUUAAGUCUGAUGUGAAAGCCCCCGGCUCAACCGGGGAGGGUCAUUGGAAACUGGGGAACUUGAGUGCAGAAGAGGAGAGUGGAAUUCCACGUGUAGCGGUGAAAUGCGUAGAGAUGUGGAGGAACACCAGUGGCGAAGGCGACUCUCUGGUCUGUAACUGACGCUGAGGAGCGAAAGCGUGGGGAGCGAACAGGAUUAGAUACCCUGGUAGUCCACGCCGUAAACGAUGAGUGCUAAGUGUUAGGGGGUUUCCGCCCCUUAGUGCUGCAGCUAACGCAUUAAGCACUCCGCCUGGGGAGUACGGUCGCAAGACUGAAACUCAAAGGAAUUGACGGGGGCCCGCACAAGCGGUGGAGCAUGUGGUUUAAUUCGAAGCAACGCGAAGAACCUUACCAGGUCUUGACAUCCUCUGACAAUCCUAGAGAUAGGACGUCCCCUUCGGGGGCAGAGUGACAGGUGGUGCAUGGUUGUCGUCAGCUCGUGUCGUGAGAUGUUGGGUUAAGUCCCGCAACGAGCGCAACCCUUGAUCUUAGUUGCCAGCAUUCAGUUGGGCACUCUAAGGUGACUGCCGGUGACAAACCGGAGGAAGGUGGGGAUGACGUCAAAUCAUCAUGCCCCUUAUGACCUGGGCUACACACGUGCUACAAUGGGCAGAACAAAGGGCAGCGAAACCGCGAGGUUAAGCCAAUCCCACAAAUCUGUUCUCAGUUCGGAUCGCAGUCUGCAACUCGACUGCGUGAAGCUGGAAUCGCUAGUAAUCGCGGAUCAGCAUGCCGCGGUGAAUACGUUCCCGGGCCUUGUACACACCGCCCGUCACACCACGAGAGUUUGUAACACCCGAAGUCGGUGAG